CAUUAGAGAAGCUGUUCUAGCAUUAACCUUUUAAGUUAAAGACUGGGAACCUAAAACUCCCCUCAAUGA
rnacentral:tRNA from 1 species